rnacentral:lncRNA from 1 species
UUCUCUAAACAGUUCCUCUUGGUCGAUGAAAAGAUAAACUACCACUCCCAUGCAUGGCCUCUGCCAUUAUGUUGCAAGGUUCGCACAAAUCCUGUUCUCUUUAGCUUCCUUGGUAGCAACGUUUGCUUACUCGGUCUUGUCCUCUAACUUGCUGGACUCCCUUAAGCGAAUAUGAGCUCUAGAGCAGUCCAACUCUCCAACUGCUCU